CUUUGUGUGGUCUAGGUGGUAUGAUUCCUGCGUUAGGGGCGCAGGAGGUCCCGCGUUCGAGUCGUGGCUCAAUGG